rnacentral:rRNA from 1 species
GACGAACGCUGGCGGCGUGCUUAACACAUGCAAGUCGAACGGAAAGGCCCUGCUUUUGUGGGGUGCUCGAGUGGCGAACGGGUGAGUAACACGUGAGUAACCUGCCCUUGACUUUGGGAUAACUUCAGGAAACUGGGGCUAAUACCGGAUAGGAGCUCCUGCUGCAUGGUGGGGGUUGGAAAGUUUCGGCGGUUGGGGAUGGACUCGCGGCUUAUCAGCUUGUUGGUGGGGUAGUGGCUUACCAAGGCUUUGACGGGUAGCCGGCCUGAGAGGGUGACCGGCCACAUUGGGACUGAGAUACGGCCCAGACUGCUACGGGAGGCAGCAGUGGGGAAUAUUGCGCAAUGGGCGGAAGCCUGAUGCAGCAACGCCGCGUGCGGGAUGACGGCCUUAGGGUUGUAAACCGCUUUCGCCUGUGACGAAGCGUGAGUGACGGUAAUGGGUAAAGAAGCACCGGCUAACUACGUG